rnacentral:rRNA from 1 species
UACGUAGGGUGCAGGCGUUAAUCGGAAUUACUGGGCGUAAAGCGUGCGCAGGCGGUUUGCUAAGACAGGUGUGAAAUCCCCGGGCUUAACCUGGGAACUGCGCUUGUAACUGGCAAGCUAGAGUGUGGCAGAGGGGGGUGGAAUUCCAGGUGUAGCAGUGAAAUGCGUAGAGAUCUGGAGGAACACCGAUUGCGAAGGCAGCUUGCUAAACGAUGAUUGACGCUGAGGCACGAAAGCGUGGGGAUCAAACAGG